rnacentral:rRNA from 1 species
GACAGAGGUGCCAAGCGUUAGGCGGAAUCACUGGGCUUAAAGCGUGUGUAGGCGGAUCGUUAAGUACCUUGUGAAAUCCCACGGCUCAACCGUGGAACUGCUGGGUAUACUGGCGAUCUUGAGCCACCUAGGGGCGAGCGGAACAAACGGUGGAGCGGUGAAAUGCGUAGAUAUCGUUUGGAACGCCAACGGUGAAAACAGCUCGCUGGGGGUGUGCUGACGCUGAGACACGAAAGCCAGGGGAGCGAACGGGG